rnacentral:lncRNA from 1 species
GUGAGGAAUAGCUGGAACAAGAUUGGCCAUGGGUUGAUAGUCGAAGCUGGGUGAUAUGAAGCACGGAGGCUCAUUGUUCAGGCUUAUAACAACUGCUCAAUUUACGACUUUUCGCCACAGUGGCUCUUGAAAAGUUAUACCGCUUUUUGGACAAUGACUCCCUUUCUGUUGGUAUAAUGGCUUUUCAUUCCAACAAACCCUAAAUAAAUACACCAUAAAAAGUGCUAUUUUAACAUUAUGGCUUUAGGCAAAGACACACUCACGGAUUCACUCAAUAAUACUUUUUAGUCAGAGAGUAUCACAUGGAACAAAUUUGAAUUGCCUGCCAUAUUUGGAUGAACCAAAACUGUUUCACUUUGCAAGCAUACGUCUAGAGAGAUGAAGAGAUAGUGUCACUGAUAACUCUUCAGUCUAUUUCAUGCAUGUGCUUUUUCCACAUUUAAAUGUUUUUCUCAAAAGGUGGUUUUCUAUGCCAUAACUUUAUUUAUUUAUUUAUUUUUUUAAGAUUUCCUUUUUCUCCCCAAAGCCCCCCGGUACAUAGUUGUGUAUUCUUCGUUGUGGGUUCUUCUAGUUGUGGCAUGUGGGACACUGCCUCAGCGUGGUCUGAUGAGCAGUGCCAUGUCCGCGCCCAGGAUUCGAACCAACGAAAUACUGGGCCGCCUGCAGCGGAGCACGCGAACUUAACCACUCGGCCACGGGGCCAGCCCCCAUAACUUUAUUUUUAAGUGCAGCUUGAGUGUAAGAUGAUCCUAAAGAUUGAAAAUCAGUGAAGAAAAUGGUGCAGAAAGAAGAUCGUACCUCCUAAAGAAGACUGUGCCCCACCACCUCGCUCCUUCCCCCCUUUACCCCCAUAAAAUCUUUUCUUCUUUGGGCCUGUGUUACUCAGUGAAGAUAAAGGUUUAAAAAUUCUAAAAUCCUUAGAAGAGACUUGUAUAAAGGAAACUGAAAAUGCCUGACUAUGGAGUCACCAAUUUAGAGACUAAAAGAAACUUUGGGUUUUCAGUGGCAAAGGGAGAAAGAGAAAGAAGGAUUUCAGCACGCCUGGAAAUGGCAGGAAGUGUAAGAAAAUCUGGAAUCCAGGAACAUUUAAUCACGCCACAUUAUGAGGUCACUCUCUCUGGAUCAGGAUGUGACCAACUUUUGUGGAGUCGAGUCAGUUGGCUUCAUUAUUCCCCUGCAACAUUUCCUUUGCACUCGUCGAUUUCCAUGGCUACAUGAUGAUUACUUCCUGAGAAACAAAGGAACACAUGUGUUUGGAAGUAAAAAGGAAGCAUACAGAUCACCUAUUGAACCACAGCCCUGUAAAACCUGGUAUAAAUGGAAACUUUUCUUUUUAUCAUAGAGUGUUUGAAGUAAAGGAAUUCACAUUAAUCAUUCCCUCAGUUUUUACUGUACAAUAGGUGUCCUUGUAAGGGGCCAGAUUGUGUCAGGCCUUAUAAACCAAAUAUAUGCCAA